rnacentral:rRNA from 1 species
GAUGAACGCUGGCGGCGUGCCUAAUACAUGCAAGUCGAGCGAACGGACGAGAAGCUUGCUUCUCUGAUGUUAGCGGCGGCCGGGUGAGUAACACGUGGAUAACCUACCUAUAAGACUGGGAUAACUUCGGGAAACCGGAGCUAAUACCGGAUGAUAUUUUGAACCGCAUGGUUCAAAAGUGAAAGACGGUCUUGCUGUCACUUAUAGAUGGAUCCGCGCUGCAUUAGCUAGUUGGUAAGGUAACGGCUUACCAAGGCAACGAUGCAUAGCCGACCUGAGAGGGUGAUCGGCCACACUGGAACUGAGACACGGUCCAGACUCCUACGGGAGGCAGCAGUAGGGAAUCUUCCGCAAUGGGCGAAAGCCUGACGGAGCAACGCCGCGUGAGUGAUGAAGGUCUUCGGAUCGUAAAACCCUGUUAUUAGGGAAGAACAUAUGUGUAAGUAACUGUGCACAUCUUGACGGUACCUAAUCAGAAAGCCACGGCUAACUACGUG